rnacentral:rRNA from 1 species
AGUCUGAUGUUUUUCAUAUUAGAUACCCUCUGCUCAAUGAUUUCUUUUAUUUAAAUAGCCGCAGUACUUUGACUGUGCUAAGGUAGCAUAAUAAUUUGGCCGUUAAUUGCGGUCUAGAAUGAAUGGAAGUACUAAUAAAUUUCUGUCUCUUAUAAAUUGUAUUAAAUUUUCUAAUAAGGUGAAAAUUCCUUUAAAAAACAUAAAAGACGAGAAGACCCUCAGAGUUUUUACUAUUAUAUUUCUGUUUAAUGUUUUUGUUGGGGCAACAUAUGAAUUUUAAUCUUCCUAGAUUUUAAUUAUUACAUGACGAAUUAUAUUUUGAACGAUUAUAACUACCUAAGGGAUAACAGCAUAAUUUUUUAUAAAGAUUGUGACCUCGAUGUUGGAUUAGGUACAAAUAGUAUGAGUAAUACUAUUUUUUUAGUUCUGUUCGAACUUUAUUGCCU